CUUUAAUCUGUUUUGUAAGAAUAAGUAAUGACAUAUUUAAAAAUAACAUAUAGUUGUAUGGAAGUAUGGCUCCAUUUUUUGUGUAUUAAAAAUGGAUGUUCACAUAAAUGAGUUGAAUAUGGCGAUUAUAUAACAAUAAUAAUAAUAUUAACAUCAUCACCAUCAUUAUUAGCCAGUUUACGCCCCCUGUUGGACAUACACUUCUCCAAAUAUGGUAUUUUGUAAUCGAAAACUAGUUUGCUAGUUUUAUUACGUCAUAAGUAAAAAUAAUAAUCGCACACGUAAUUAUAUUGAAGAAUUGUUAUACACAACAAAAAAGCGCCAACAUUAAAGGCAAAAUAACGCAAAAAAGUCAUAAUUUUUGUUAUAAUGCAUGUAUUUAGUAAUGGUCUGGAGUACCUACUAGCAAUGAUACAAAAUAUACUUAUUUAACAACUGCUCAUUCAUUGACUCGUUUUGCCAGUUCGUAAGUUAAUAAUAAUAUUGUCUGGUUGACGAGAAAAGAAAUCAUGUCAUUUCUUAAAUAAAUAUUUGAGUUUAACUAGCAGUUGGUCGCACUCGUUUAUAUGUAUUUAAAAAUUAUAACAUAAUGAAGUCAUAAAAUAAUGAUAAUAAUAAUGUGAUGAACAAUAAUCAGUCAAAACAUAAUAUGUGUUAUCAUGGAAAAUCACAUAAUGUAAAAAUCAUACCAAACAAAAAAUGUUCAGAAGAAAAGUAAGUGAUCGUAAUAAUUUUUAAAUCAUAAUUUAUGUACUCAAGACCACAAAUAAAAUGCAAAAAUAUAAUAAAAUAAAAAGAAGCAAUAAAGCCUGCAUCACAGAAAAUCCUCAAAACAAAGCGAAACAUGUCUAUGUUUUUUUAUUUUAUUGUCAACAACAAACUACGUACUUUGUAUAGUUUCAUAGUUUCUAGUCAUCUUCCUCCACCCGCCUCGGUUUCUCGAUCACCUCUAAUGUAAAAUCUACCUAAACCCGUAACGAUUAGACUCUCAUUUCAACCGUGCAAACCAAACCAAAAUUGUUAACGAAAUGUGCAGAUAGGACAUCCUUCGGUGCAUAAAAUAGAAAGAUUAUAUUUGUUUUCUCAUACAAAUUAUGGGUGAAUUUCCCAAAUGACUUUUUUUUUGUCUUUAGUGAAAUUCGUAUUUGAAAAAAGAAAUAUUGUUCUGGAUUAUUUUUUUUUGUAUUCAAUAGGCAGUUAUUGGGUUGUGGCAAAAAUAUAAUUUGCCUAGGACUAUAUAUAAGGGUAGAAAAAAAUACAUAAACCUCAAUUUUUCUCAUAUCGGUGGCUGUCCCUCUACUUUUUUUACUGACAAAAAUGCUUAUACACUUGUAAAAAUAAGUAAGUUAAGUAUGUAACUAAUUUUAUUUAAUAGACUAUUAGUUUUAUUAUUAACAUAGAGCAUAUUUUAAUACAUAACCGACGUUUAUAAUUACUGAGAGGCACAAACAUACUUGUCUCGAAAAAUGCUCUCAUAUCGGUGGCCAAAAGUAAUUUAAACCUAACUUUACAUCGGCGGGUCCGACAGCGUCCCCACCCCAAUAUUAUUUCCCUCGUUAGUGUGCGCUAGCGCGCAGUGAAGACGGACGCGUGUCAAGUCGCUGCAUUUUCCCGCCAAUAACAUCCUGUGUAAUUUCGUGCGGUGCGGUCGCGGCGCCAGCGCCGGAGCGAUGUUGAUGUGGCUGCGGUUAUUAUAAAAACUUACUAUAUAAUACUAAUAAUGAUUUAUUAGUAUUGGGUUAUUGGUAAAACACUAACAACCUCUCAGGACUAUAUUAGUGACACCAUAAACAACAACUUUUGUUUUAUGACUUUUUACAAAACGUUAAUCUAUACAUAUAAUAAAAUUAUAACAACUCCAUGUCUGUACAUUACAGAUAUUUAAGAAAAAAUAAGAUGGGGGAUCUUUAUUCAACCAAUAGAAGCGAAAAACAUGAUUUAAAAAAUUUUUGUCUGUCUGUCUGUCUGUCUGUUUGUUGUUCGCUUUUCACGCAAAAACUACUGGACGGAUUUUGAUGAAACUUUUUUUGUUAUAUAGCUAUUAGUCCUCGCUAACAUAUAGACUAUCCUUUUUUUGGAAAUUCGCCCUUUAAGGGGUAAAAAGGGGAGGAGUAAGUUUGUAUGAAACUCCGUCAGUUUUGAAGCUAAUUCGAUUAAAAUUAAUAUUCGGCUAUUUGGUUACAAAUUAAGAAUGAUGCAAUGAGGAUUUUUGGAAAAUAUGCCUAAUAGGGGCUGAAAAAGGGGGGGUAAGUUUCCAUGAAACUCCGUUAAUUUUGAAGCUAAAUCGAUGAAAAUUAACGCUUUUUACGUGAAUUGCCCUUCGUUUUGUGACAUUUACCUGUUUAAAGAA